rnacentral:sRNA from 1 species
GCCUAGCCCCGAUGGGAGGGAAAAUCCUUUUGUGCCGGGGUUCGGCACAAAAGAUUGGAAGGAACAGCGGGAAAUAGC